rnacentral:lncRNA from 1 species
CUCUAUCUAUUCUUUCUCACAACUUUAACACGAACGAGCAGCCUUUAAUUUCAGCAAAAACCCUACAUGUUUUGUACAAGAACAUAACAGGGACGAGCCCUGCUAAGAAGAACACAAGCUCUAAGAAGUACACGCAAUCGAAGUACUAUGCUGUGCCUUUGCAUCAAGUGGUAGUAGUGAAUCGGCCGCCGCCGCCCAUGCGGUUCAGUUAGUUGUAGCUCGGUUCUCUGCUGAAGCCGCCGCCGCGACCGGCUUUGUCCCUCAAGCCAGCAGCAGCACCACCAGGGCUCCUCGGCACCACGAGGUUGCUGAUGGUCCUGACGAUCUGCCGCUUCAGCUGCCCUCGCUUCAGCGGCGGCCUCUUCUCUUUCGAGCUCAAGUUGCCGCUGCUGUUGCUGUGCUGGUAGGCGUAGUACUCCAUGGCCAGCUGCAGAGCUAGCUCCCUCCUCUCUAUCUGUCCUUGCUUCCCGGCCGGCCUUCUCUGUCUUGUGCGUUUUUCUGUGUGUUCAGACUUCAGCAGCU